CUUUGGACGAGUGCUCCGUUGGCGCCAUUAUUGCCAUUAGUUUUCUUUGUAUGUCCAGUGAAGUUGCCUUGGGCACUCCCUGUAGCCAUGCUACUGUUCUCUGAGCCACAGUUGGAGGCAGAGUCAGUGUCUGUAGUACAUUCUGAGGCAGAUUCAGUCUCAGCUCCUGUGAUGGAAGGCCACGCUUCCUUGUCAGUCCUGUCUAUUAUCACUUUAUCCCAGCUGCAGUUGCCUUCACUCCUGAAAGUGGGCUGCUGUCCCCAGUGGGAAUUUUCAUAAUGGUCUCCCAAUCCACUGUGACUGAGAUCUGCUUGGGUCUUACUGGGAUGAUGCUGUCCUCCCGCCCCUGGCUGCGGGGGAGGACUCGCCCCUGCUGGCCCAGUGCCUUGUGCCGGGCUGCUGCUCAGAGUCCCGGUGGGCAGCGGCUGCCCUCUCUUUAAGAGCUGCUUCUGUUCUUGCUGGCGGAAGCGUGGAGGCACCUCGCGGGGCAGGUAGCGGGACGCGGCUGGCUGCUGCCCGUUAGCAGAUGCACGCUUGCCAUUGCUGCUGUUGGUGAUAGUGCUGGUGGAAGUACUGGUACCGGUACCGGCAGGUUGGGGCUGGCUUAAACUGGUCUUGAUAGGUUCUGGCACUUUGGUUUUUUGUUCAGCAGCCUUUUUCUGAGCACCUUCCUUCUUUUUCUUUUCUUCCUGCUUUUUCUUUUUCUUUUCUUCCAUCAAAUGUUCCUCUUCUUGUGUUUCUUCUUCUUUCUCCCUUAUGGUCUGCUCUGUGCGGGGCUCUUUGGCAGCUUUCGGUUCGGUCUCGCCGUGAGGAAACGAGCAGGGACGUCGUCUACGAUGGAGGGGGUUUCUCUGACGCGUUCCUUUCUUAUUUUAAAGGUUGUUUGUUGUGUCGGUGGCGGUUGGUUUCCUCCCCCCCUCCCCUCUCUUUCCGUAACUGUACCCGUAAUUUCACGAAUCGAUGCGAAAAAAUCUCACACGGCCAAAAAUAAUCGUUAAAAAAAAAAAAAUCAAGUUUUUGCUGUCGUCGUCGCCGUCUGCCCACAGCCCCCCGAGAGAAAAGACAUGAAAAGGAAUCGAACGGCACGGAGGAGGAGGAGGAGGCGGCGGAGGCGCGCAGACGGAGCGGAGCAGCGGCGGAUCCCGUCGGAGCGCAGCGCGGCUCAGUCCGUGCCCGGAGCACUCUGUCCGCGCUGCAGCCACGAUCCGAAGCGGUGCGGGAGGGGCUGCGCCGCGUCCCGGUGGGUUCAGUCCGCG
rnacentral:lncRNA from 1 species